rnacentral:rRNA from 1 species
CCCCCUGCCCUUUGUACACACCGCCCGUCGCUACUACCGAUUGAAUGGCUCAGUGAGGCCUUCGGACUGGCUCAGGGAGGUCGGCAACGACCACCCAGAGCCGGAAAGUUGGUCAAACUCGGUCAUUUAGAGGAAGUAAAAGUCGUAACAAGGUCUCCGUAGGUGAACCUGCGGAGGGAUCAUUA